CAGCUUUGAAGAGUGGUUCCAUCACCUCAUGCUGAAGAAACAUAAUCUUCUGUAGCAGAUCUCCUGGUUGCCUCCCACCCAGAAGUUAACAGCAAUGUCAUGAGCAGUUUUUCAAAAAGUAAAUCUUGCGUGCUACAAAAUCUCAAAUCAGUUUUGAUGUGGUCGGAGUAUUCUCAAGGCUGGUGAUGUGUUGUCAGGACAGCAACAUCUCAGCUGGAAGGGGUGCAGUUUUUCUCGUGGCGCACCAAACAACCCACAAAAAUUAUGGUAUUUCUUGUCACUGAGAAGAUGGUCGUGACUGUCAUAAAGUUGCAGGUACCAAGGCAACAGUCUGACUGAUACCGGUGGGCUAUCAGCAUUACCUGCUGGACAAGCAUAUAACAACACAUGAAAUACUACAAAGUUAUAAAAUCUCAGUUUUAUCCAAGGUACCCACUAGCAUCCCAGUUCUUAGAAGUAUUUGAUCCUUUGAAGCAUGUGUUUUUGCUAAAAGUUAUCUCCCAUGCAAAUGCUAGUGCUAUGCAGCAUGUCCAAAUAUGCUUGGAGUUCAGGAAAGGAUAGCUUUCAUCACACUGAGCUUGGCUUUCCCAUCUCACUAUUCAAUAUUCUACCCCUGACCAUGCUUGCAACAAUUGUUGUACAAUAAUGCUUUCUGAAUUCACUCUGAGAGUGGGUGGCUGACAUCAGUUGCAUGAAAAGGGGCCAAGAUGCAUUCCCAAACAUUUGUUUCCACACUGAUUGCACAAGUAAGGCAAGCCUGAACUUGAAGAUAAUCACCUGAAUACUAAAAAUCCUCGAAAUGGAUUUUUUUCCAAACUGGAAAAAGAGCAGAGCGGUGACUGUGCUUGAGGGUCUGUUGCUGCAACAUUUGUGGUCUGCAAUGGCAGCGCAUCAGUAGAGUUAGAGAAGUGAUGGUGUUCAGCAUGAGGGGCUGGUGCAUGGAUGCACCAAUGGCCUUGACAAGCUUCUAGCCUUUCAAAAUGACGCUGAACAUUCAGGAGAUGCUCCUUCUGGCCACAGCCAUGUGGUUUACUUCUAUGAAACGCUGAGAUGUGAACAAAAGGCUUGCCUGCAUGUGAAAAAUGCUACGCUGCUCAUUUUUUUCUGCUGUCAAACUUAAAGCAGUGAUGUCAGGCAAAGCAGAAUGAUGCACUGCCUCUGCCUGAUCCUGGAGCCAGCAAAGUUACAGGAAGCAUCACUGCAGUUUCUAAGGCUUUCUUUCAAAUUCCAUUGCUUCUCCAACACAAUAACACCUUCCAACCAGAGACUCUGCAGCCAUCUGAUGUAAAAGGGGUGAGCUUAUUGGUGUGAUUGGCUGGGUGAGUGGAAGCCGGUGAAUACCAAUAAAAUAAAGUCCUUGAAUGCCUGGGGAUGAGGUUACUCCUCGAUAGCACUUUUCCUGCUCUGUGUCAUUAUAACAACAGUUUGUGCAUGGAUGAACACCUUGGGGAGUACCUGCAUGAUUAGUUCAUCUAGCCAUAGUGGCAGUUAGUUCAAGCACUCAGCAGUCCUGCAAAGAAUCACUAUUACCUCUUAAAAAAUAAUAACAGCAAUAGGCCACUGCCUGCGUCUCAUAAUAUUAUGGAGAAGGGAGGAAAACAGAUUGUUGUUCCCCAAAGUCUAACUUCACUUUGGGAGCAUUUCCAUAAUUCCAUUAUUGCUCCCUGUUCUGAUGUGAGAUCAGUUCUUAGCACAUCAUUUUUCGGUAAAUGGGCUAAAGCAUUUAAAAUAUAACUGUGACUCAAAAGAAGUCUCUGUUUGCCUGGAAUUGUUUCUGCUUGGAAUGAAACCAAAUAUAGCAGUUCUCAGUUCUUGAACUUUUUCAUGCAUUUCCAUGGCGCUCAAGCUGCGGGUCAGAAUUGCCUUAACCCCAGCAUUCGUAGCAUUCAUAACAACAUGAAAUUGAUAUUGGCAAUUAUGAGCAUACUUACUGUCCAACAGGUUGUACCGUUAGCACUGACAUGUCUGACGUAUACUUUUGGGCUUUUUACUUUUCUGAGAUUUUGCUGGUCUCUUUCUCUCAAAGAAGAUCUUGGUGUAGAGGUGAUAUUUAUGAUGUGUAAUAUCAGCUCUCAAUCUUGGUUUUAGUGAUUGGGAUAACAGUGCUCUCAAUGCACUGUAAUUUUCCAUUCCUUUUUCCAUAGUCUAAAAAAUCACAUCAGGUAGAAGAUAAAAUAAGAGAAAUUUAAGUGAGGAACUGGUCGCCGUAUGGCUGACACCCAAAAUCUCAGCAAUUUGAGGGGAUGGAAGUGGAAAAAGAUGAAGUAAAUUCCACAAAAUUUAUACCAUAAGUAGGUGGCAGCUGCUAGUAAAGAACAAAAGCAGAAAGGAAAAGAACACUGAUAAGCAAUGUUAUGAUGAUGCAUGAAAACAGAUCUUAAGGUAGCCAUCCACACACAACGUCCUAAUCUUUUUACCAGAUUUCUUAUAAAAAAUCUAUUUUUAACCAUGAAGAUUACCUUUACCCACUUGAUCUGGAUUUAUAAGCUGAAAUAUAUUUUGGUAGUGGAAAUGAACUCACUUGCUGCCAUCGCUGGCUGCUUGUUCUCCUCUUUUCUCUGUCGAAAGAGAAUGCUGUGGGCUUAGGUUCAUGGCAUAAUUCUGCAAAUCACGCCCAGCUCAAAAGCACACAGUACUGCCAUCAUUAGUGCUGCAUGAAAUAGUUUAAACAAUAACAUACGAUUGGAAUUGAGAUGGUCUGAGGCUCUGUUCCUUGUAUCACCUUGGACAAGGCACUUGGAUCUUCUCAAAUAUGACAUUGAAAAAAAACAAUAUUUGUUGCUUAUUAUAAAAUCUUUAAACUUGUCUUACAAGAAUUGCAAUAUUGGCAUUUUCUACAAGAAAUGUCUGUGGGCUGCCAUGGUUCUGGUACUGGAUUUUCUAAAGGCUGAACAUCUAUGUAGUUGUACUAACCUACAAUUUGUUUCAUUUUAGUGAGUUAAACUAUAUGGCCUCUGGAUUAAUUUCCCCCUAAUGCAAUUCCACCAGUGAAUAUAGAAACUUACUCCUUAUGCUUUGGAAAACUGUACUGAAGGAAUAUGGAGACUAAAAUCUCUUCUUCUAUGCCUAACGGGAAAAAAAUUACAUUUCUCCAGGUUGACAAGGCUAGGGGUCUGAAGAGAGUGAUAGCUGGCUGUGUUGCAGACAAACCCUCCCCAGCUUUUGUGGUGUAAGCAGACAGCUAUCUUGCCCACACACAUAGAUUAAUUUAUGCCUACGCAUGUCUUUUUCCUCCCCAGUGUGUAAACUUGUUCAAUAAACUGUAGUAAUGCAACAUGUGAAACAGAGGUCGAAAUCCUGGAGGCUUAUCAGAUGUUACAUUUUGUUAUCUAAAAAAGUUACAGUAUUUUAAAUCAGAAAAACAUGUUGAUCUCAGUCGUGGAAGACACCGACUUCUGCAGCCUAACCAAGAGAACUUAGAAACAAAUGACUGAAAUGAAAGAUGUGAGUAGUUCAGCUGUAGUGAUGAGACUGUGACUAUGUUUGAAACUAAGUGUUUGUUUAAAUCUUUUUUUCCUGUACUGUGUUGCUCUGCAGCUGUUAGGACUGAGAGUAUUUUCAUUAUUGCCUUUUCAUCCGUUGACGACCUGUCCUGAUCGUUUAUGCCUAUUGAUAUUGUUUGCAUAGUUUUGUUGGAGAGGCACUGAGAUUUGUCAAAACCCAAGGUAAAAAAAAGAUCAGGGCAUAGAUUUAUUUUUUAUAAGAAUUUGACUUUUGAGACAGCUUAAAUAUUUGUCAUUCAGAUUAUGCUAUAAUAUGUAGUAAUGCAUUAAUGAAGGGAAGUUUUGUAUGCCUUGAAGGAACUUUAGAGACACAGUCUUGCUAUUUGUACAACUACAUUGCCCAAGUUAUGUAGCGUUUCUCCCCCAAAUUCACAUUUAUUAAAAAACUUGACAUUUGGUUAGUUAACCUGCAAAAUAGUUGUGUUUUUUUUUUCUCUGAUAUAGUACUGGAGACUUCUGACUAGCAGAAUAAUACGUCUAGUGCCUCAGGGACUUCCUAUGAGGAGGAGGGGUGAAAAUCUAUAGAACCUGUUAACACUUUGAUUUCAGUUUUGUGUUUUUUUUUUUUUUUUUUUGGGGGGGGGGGGGAUAUAAGUUACAUAUUGGCUACAUUUCCACUGAGGUUUCAUUGAGUAAAUUUUAUCAGAUGAGCAUAAAAGGUCAUUCUAGUGGCUUCACAAAUAAUAAUAGCUGAGAUAAUGAAAUGUCUACUUUUUCCUCUUUGAUAUUUCCCAAAUACUGUGAUGAUCUCCCAGUUCUUCCAGACAAGUCUUUUCCAAAUGACCUGCUAUGUUUUAUCAAAAAUAUUUUCCUGUAUUAGAGGAGAGGUAAAUUGAAGAAAGAAAAGAAAGGACAUCCUAAAAUGAUGUCAAAAUUCAACAAAGAUCUUAAAUCUGUUAUGAUGUCACGCCUUACAUGUAUUUAUGUAGCAGCUCUAUUUAAGGAUUGUGAUAUUUCCAGAGGUUCUUAAUUGGCAAAGUUUCUUAUCUGAAAGUUGCAUUAUAGGAAAUUAGCAUACCUAACACUUCAUUUCAAAAUCUAAAAAAAUGAAAUAGAAAUAUAGGAAUGUUUAUUUCAUUUCACACAGAUAGAGUUGUUAUUCUGGAGGGGCUUGAAAAUAUGAGAGGUUAAAAACAAGCAGUUUGGGUUUUUCUUAGUCUUGUUGAAAUGCUGAGGAAGAUCAUUACUUGUCAUUGCACAGAUAACUACUAUAGGGAUAUAAAAUCGAGAAGUUCUCUGCUGUCUGUCAACACUGCAGUAACAUUUACAAGCGUAAGCCCAUGCUUAUGAGGAGACAACGAAAACCCUGUUUUGUGCCUCUUUCAACAUAUACCACUUAUAUAUAGUUAUUUUAUUUGCACAACUAUUUGCAUUUCCUGUUACUUCUACUGAAUAAAAAAUUAUGGUAACAAUAUUUUUAACUCAGCUGAGAUGGCAGGAAGUGCAACUCAGAGUAGAAAAGUGUCAUAAUAAUAUAAACAAGUCCGAGGUGCCUAUGAUCAGUAUCUAAUUGACUUAAACUUGAACUAUAGAACUACAGUUUAGGUAAAAAGUGGAAGCUUCUCUAGUUCGCUCUUCUCCACUGUUUUCCAGCAACAAGUUGUAUCCUGUUCACUAUGCUUUAUAAAACCCCAUUCCAUUUUGAAGCCCCCUAGAUGUGAAGACUCCAGCUUCUCCAACAUAAGUUUCUUCUAAUGGUUAACAGUGGAAAAACUGUCUUUUGGAAUUGCUUCCUGAAAUUUUAAUGUCGCUUCUUCUUAUUAAGUUGAACUCUGUUUCUAGAUAUUGCUUGUUCAUCCCACAAGAAUUAUUUCUUCAACACUUCAGUACAUAUGGAUGGUUACCACAUUUUCUUCACCUCCACUUUGGCCGUAGUUGCCCAAAGCAACUUGCCCAAGGCAAAUACAACCAUUUUUUCCUCA